ACGCUCGACACCUACGGGUGGCAGCAGUGGGGAAUAUUGCACAAUGGGGGAAACCCUGAUGCAGCGACGCCGCGUGGAGGAAGAAGGUCUUCGGAUUGUAAACUCCUGUUGUUGGGGAAAAAGAGGAUGGUACCCAACAAGGAAGUGACGGCUAACUACGUGCCAGCAGCCACGGUAAUCUGAGCGGGCUGGCAAGGC
rnacentral:rRNA from 1 species